CAUAGCCACAGCCCCCGGCCGCGGGCGGGGAACCGGCGGCUCCGCCUCUCAGCGGGGAGGGCGCUGAGGGGACCGGGCACAACCCGCAGCGCCUGUCACCUCGACACCCUGCACCGCUCGUGCCGGGAAACAACAGGCGAGCGGGGUAGCUACAGCCGGCGCGGCAGGAAGAGGAGGGGCAAGCGGGUAGAGGCGCGGCACGGUCCCGACGGGUGGCUCCGCCGGGCCGCAGGGUCACUUGUGCGGCCGCUGCUGGCCCGGUCCGGGCGAAGGGUGUUACUGGAGCGGCCCCGGGAGCAUAGCGAGGAAACGGAACUUGCCUGGCUGCACUGCCUUGAUCUGCUUUGGAAAUUAUGAGCUACUUGAGUGAAUAACAGUGUAAUGGAACAGACAUAAGGGUGUCAGAAGGCCUUUUUAACUAGCGUCUUGUUUCCAAAAGUAACCAUGAGUGGGUACCAAGGAAACAAGGGAGAACUCCACAGGCAUAUAUAAUAUUUUCCUGGAUAUUCUCCCAUCUUACAACCAGAUGACAUCCUCAGCUGAAUACUUUGGGGUUGGUGUCCCCCCGUCUUUUUACCCUCUAUUGGUAGAUUGCUCUACCAUUAGUUUCCCUGACCUCUGUGACUUUGCAUCAGCUCCUGCCUUUGGCACCAAGUACUACAGUCUACCACCAUUUUUAGGAAGCAUCUUCCUGGCACAUGUUUAAGUUGCGGCCUGGUAGCUCCAGCAGCAGCCACCCUUGAUCUUGCAUGAGAGGAGACAGUGACCGUCAGUUCCAGCACUUACUGUCUGCCUCCACAUGAGCCUCGAAGGAGGCUGCUCAGAGCAGAGCCUUUCCCAGCCUCCCAGACCACUCUGUUUACUUGCCUGCAAAAGCAUCUUGCUGAUCACUUGGGAGGAAGGUAGUGCUGGGUGGUGGCAGCUUGUUGUGAGUGGAUGCUGCAGGGAACAGGUCUGCCUGUGGUGACAUGCCUCAGAGAAGUCCUUGUAUUGCUUCCUCUUCUAUCUGCCAGGGACAGGUUUGAUAGCUUUUUCUUAUGUGUAAUAUGAACAUCUAAAAGCAUUGCUUGUACCUAAUAAUAGGUGUCCAUCUGCAUCUUAGUAUAUUUUAGUGAGUAUCAGGUAUAAAGCCCUACCAGUGAUAAAUGUUUCCUUCUUAACACGCACUUUCUACAGUAUUUUUCAUUUAAUGAUCUUAACUUUCUGACUGAACUUAUCUUACGGGCUUGCUAAUUUGAGACUAGCUAGGAUGAAACUGAAGAUAUUCAAUAACCUUUGUAAAUGUUUGCUUCAUGUGUUUCUCAGGAAGCUUCACAAGCCAAUUAUUUCAGUUUCCAUAGCUGGGUUUGAUGUCUUUGUCGUUCAACAUGCAUCCUGUUAGGAGUUGUCAUUAACUCCGUUGUCUUCUUUGUUUUGCAUGGUGCCAAGCACUUUGACAGAGCCCAAAUCAAAACUAAGUAUCCAUGGAUGGCUUUUAGCCUUAAUUCCAGGUUUAGCUGGCAUGGAUGAAACUGCCAACAGAUCAAAAGAAUGCAGGAGCUUUUUAUUUCCCUCGUGGUUUCAGAAGGCUUUAGUGUCUAUGUUAUCCAGACUGGCUCUUAGCACUUAGUCUAGAAACCUCUAUGUCCUGCUAUAAAACAUUAUUUUCUGAGGCUAGGAAAAGCUACAAUUACCUAAUGUCCAAAAUAAAUAGUUAACAUUG